CCUGUGCUCUAAGCAUGGAACAAGUCUUCCUAUUGGAAUACACAUCUCUGUCUGGGAGGCUCUGGAAUAUAACCCCAUGAAAUGCAAGGACUGUGUCUCUUUCACCAUUGUAACCAGAACACCUGAAAGUGUGAUUUCCAAGUUCACAACACAGUGAUGCAACAAUUACGUACAUUACACAGUGUUCACACAGGGAGUGUAGUUACCAUCUGUCACCAGGAAAUACUUGGGAACACACAAAGAAAAAGCAGACAUUCAGCUUGAUUUACUCAGGUGGAGGGGAGACACCAAGAACGUGCCAGACACAUUUCGUUCAGCGGCAAGCUGAUCACCUCUUCACCGCUAACACCCCUCGGUGAAGAACAACCAGAAGAAUUUUCAAUUUAAAAAUAAAUCCAAACAUUUGUCUUCAUAUUAUCAAUGCUGUGGUAUAUUCUGAACAUAUUGAGAAAUGGAAGAGCAUGCAUUUGUGUCUGCUUCUUUCGAUUUCUGUAGUGUCAUAUAAUGUUCUAAUAUUCAGUGUUCAUCGAAGUGUUUUAGAUAUGAUACUGUUUCUUGAGGGAAGUGGGGAUACUUUAUACAAGCACGCAGAACAAAAAAUGUACUUACCUCGCCUCCCUCUGUGAGGUGCAGUGCCUGCCAGAAGGACAGCGGAACAAGAGAUUUGAGGAUAUUGGAUUUCUUUUGCUCAAAACCAACUCCUUAUUUUGUAUU